AGAAAUUAGGGUAAGUCUAUCAAUUAUAAUUCUUAUGGAAGUUAAUCCAUCGUUUGAAACUGAGCGCUGGUAUCAAAUUAUUAAUAAUUUUAAAAUUUCGGUAAAGUUAUGAUUCUUAUGAAUUUUAGUUUAUUUUCAAUGAAACCAAGGACGUAUUUUAGGUGCCCACUGAGUAUACAUGCACGCACAUAUAUAUUUUUUGCUAUGUUACAUCCUAGAUGUGUUAAUGCUUCAGAGGCGUAUUAGUUUAUGGUAUUGGUCUUAAUUGGCAAAGAGGAACCAUCAGGGGUUGGUACAACCAUCAAAUUCAAUAUCGCUAUUUGGCUUUUUGCUGAUUUUUAGUUAUACUUAUCCUUUUGUCUUUUGAUUUUGAUAAUCAUUUUGAGAAGAUGAAGCAAGAAAGAAAUUCCUAGAGGCAAGUUCGACCUCCAUCCUGGGAUCUUUGCAAUCUUUGUUCUACCUGAUCUUCCUCUUUCAUUUAGUAGAUUUAAUUUAAGAAAAUAAUUGAUAGUAGACCCUGAAUUAGAAUUCAAAAACAUGCUUCAAUUGGUUAGAUGAAGUUGUUAAUUUUUAUAGUGUUGUCUUUGUUUUUAAAGAUUGUGUUAAGGACCUAAAACGAAGUAGUUGAUUCAUAUUUUGUUUUCUUGGCUCUAACUUUUAUUGUUUUGGUUCAUAAGAUGUUGCAUUGGAGGCUAUAAUAGAGUUCGUAAAGCUGGAGAAAGGUGGCAGUUUUGAUUCUUCUGUUAGGUUCCUCAGGUUUAUGGUGAGCAGAUCCGAAAAGAAACGGGAAAACUUUAUUCAAGGUAGUGGGCACUCUAACAGAGAUUCAACAACAUCAUGUAGCAGUUAAGAGACUUUUUGCUUACCCGAUCUCAGACUCCUCGAUAAUAAAGCAACGGAACUGUGAUGUGAUCAUCAGUUUCAGAAGGUUGGUUAGACUACUUAGUAUUUCGACGCAUUCAUUAUGAACAUGAUAGUCAUGGAUAAAGAUGGAGUUUAUAGCAAUGCAUAGGAAAUAGAAACAACAAUCUUUAUUCUUAUGUACUUGUUUCUAAUACAUGUCUUCAAAUCAUUCUUAUUCUAAUCGUGGUCAUCAUAAUUUUGGUUGUGAUCAAGAUAGUUCAUAGGUUUUAUUUUAAUUUGUAGAUGUGUAAAAUAAUGUUAUAGGGAGCAUUCCAAGUUUGUAUGGUGAUCUCCUAUUAUUUCCCCAUUUUAUCUUCCUGAUAAUGA